rnacentral:ncRNA from 2 species
CAACACCGUGCGGGAGAGUCCUCGGUCCGCCAGCGGAGCCGGGGCGCCGAAGGGGCAAACUCCCCGGAACCUCUCAGGCGCAAAGGACCGCACGGAUCAG